GCAGUGGAGGCAAGGGUAUAUCACUGGAGAUGCAUGCCUGUGUGCCUGAGGCCUUCUAAGAUGAGUUUACCAUUUUAAUGUACGACGUCACUGAUCUUCUGGGUGCUUAGAAAUCAUCAGUGUCUCUGAAGAGUGACAGUGAACAGGAAUAUGGUCAUUUCAGAUACUUCCGUGUCAGACACCAUUCUGUCAGACUGCCC